rnacentral:rRNA from 1 species
AUUGAACGCUGGCGGCAGGCCUAACACAUGCAAGUCGAACGGUAGCACAGAGGAGCUUGCUCCUUGGGUGACGAGUGGCGGACGGGUGAGUAAUGUCUGGGGAUCUGCCCGAUGGAGGGGGAUAACUACUGGAAACGGUAGCUAAUACCGCAUAACGUCGCAAGACCAAAGUGGGGGACCUUCGGGCCUCACACCAUCGGAUGAACCCAGAUGGGAUUAGCUAGUAGGUGGGGCAAUGGCUCACCUAGGCGACGAUCCCUAGCUGGUCUGAGAGGAUGACCAGCCACACUGGAACUGAGACACGGUCCAGACUCCUACGGGAGGCAGCAGUGGGGAAUAUUGCACAAUGGGCGCAAGCCUGAUGCAGCCAUGCCGCGUGUAUGAAGAAGGCCUUCGGGUUGUAAAGUACUUUCAGCGGGGAGGAAGGCGGUGGAGUUAAUAGCUUCACCGAUUGACGUUACCCGCAGAAGAAGCACCGGCUAACUCCGUACCAGCAGCCGCCGUAA